rnacentral:rRNA from 1 species
AUGAACGCUGGCGGCGUGCCUAAUACAUGCCAGUCGAGCGAACAGACGAGGAGCUUGCUCCUCUGACGUUAGCGGCGGACGGGUGAGUAACACGUGGAUAACCUACCUAUAAGACUGGGAUAACUUCGGGAAACCGGAGCUAAUACCGGAUAAUAUAUUGAACCGCAUGGUUCAAUAGUGAAAGACGGUUUUGCUGUCACUUAUAGAUGGAUCCGCGCCGCAUUAGCUAGUUGGUAAGGUAACGGCUUACCAAGGCAACGAUGCGUAGCCGACCUGAGAGGGUGAUCGGCCACACUGGAACUGAGACACGGUCCAGACUCCUACGGGAGGCAGCAGUAGGGAAUCUUCCGCAAUGGGCGAGAGCCUGACGGAGCAACGCCGCGUGAGUGAUGAAGGUCUUCGGAUCGUAAAACUCUGUUAUUAGGGAAGAACAAAUGUGUAAGUAACUAUGCACGUCUUGACGGUACCUAAUCAGAAAGCCACGGCUAACUACGUG